GCCUCGCUAGCUCAAUGGUAGAGCAACGGACUCUUAAUCCGCAGGUUCUUGGUUCGAAUCCAAGGCGGGGUACCA
rnacentral:tRNA from 1 species